UUUGUUGCCAGUCUGGGAUUCAAGAGAUCCUGUCUCAAAAGAGGAUGGGGAUGAAAUUCUCAAAGAACUGAUGAGAAUCUGUUGGGGCAAAAGGGAGGGUCGAGGAGAGAAGAAGAGCCCGCAUGGUCCUCCCCUCUUCCAGAGAGGCAAGACAGGGGAAGGGCAUGGCAGGGAGAAACGGCUUUCUUUGCUUUCAGCUGGAAUGCAAGAGUCAGAGGAUGGCAGCCAGGUGGUGGACCCGGGAGCCUCAGAGAGGGCCAAGGGACAGGCCACCUACUCCAGCCUGCAUCAAGACCAGUGAGAGCAUCCAGGGGAAGAGACUGCAGCCCUGGUGAAUGAGGUCAGCAAGGCCUGCUGAGUGUCCUGUAGUGGUCACAUGGAGUGAGCAACAAUGGAGGGCAGUGUAUCUGCUCGGAUUACAUCAUUAACUAUUUCAGUCAUCGGUGCUGAGCAUCCAGACCAGACCCGGUCCUGAAGAUGCAGAGGCCAGGAGGACCCAGAAACCUCCUGGUGUAGAAAGAACAGCAGGCCCACAGCUGGAGGCUGUUUAUUCAUGACAUGGUAUCACAGCAACAGGAACCCUGACUGGGACGGCCCACCACCGCUGCUGCUGACCCGGAUGGAUGCCUGUCACACUGCUACCCACUGCGCCCCCACAAGGGGGCGCUCUCCC